rnacentral:lncRNA from 1 species
CUGGAUGGUCUGAUUCUGUCGGACUCUCUGCCACCUAUCGGCAUACUCCUCCCUGCUCCACUGAUUGCAAAGGGCCUCUUAUGCAUCCAUCUGCAUCCAAUAAUCCCUGUAGGACUUUUAGUCUGAUGGUGAUUGAAAAUUGGAAUGUUUGAUGGUGGACUGCCGUAGGCUAUGUAGUCCAUCUCAAAACCUAUAUAUGGCCACCUGCUCAAAGAUCGAAUGGCCAGCCUCCUCAUCCUG